rnacentral:tRNA from 1 species
GAGGGUAUAGCUCAGUGGUAGAGUGUGUGUUUAGCAUGCACGCAGUCCUAGGUUCAAUCCCCAAUACUUCCA